CCUACGGGUGGCUGCAGUCGAGAAUCUUCCACAAUGGACGAAAGUCUGAUGGAGCGACGCCGCGUGAUUGAUGAAGCGCUUCGGCGCGUAAAGGUCUUUUAUGAGGGAAGAAGUUUAUUGACGGUACCUCAUGAAUAAGGGGCUCCUAAUCUCGUGCCAGCAGGAGCGGUAAUACGAGAGCCCCAAGCGUUAUCCGGAUUUAUUGGGCGUAAAGGGUGCGUAGGUGGCACUGUUAGUCGCGUGUGAAAGACCCGAGCUCAACUUGGGGAACGCGCGCGAAACGGCAGAGCUUAGAGUGAAGGAGAGGUGUGCGGAACUCAUGGUGUAGGGGUGAAAUCCGUUGAUAUCAUGGGGAACACCAAAAGCGAAAGCAGCACACUGGCCUUUUACUGACACUGAGGCACGAAAGCGUGGGUAGCGAAUGGGAUUAGAUACCCCAGUAGUC
rnacentral:rRNA from 1 species